UCGGGCUCAGUGACAUCCACUGAGAUGCUCGGUGGCCUUCUCAGCUACAUGAUGUCAAAUGUCAGCAGGACUUAGCUUUACCUCUUGACCACAUUCCUGUGAGUCUGGUCCUGUGUUGCCACAGGGGAUCGCAAACUUGGCCAACUGUCUCCAGUCUUUUUAUAGAUGCCGUCACCCUCAGAUUCUUCUGUCCAACCAAGUGAGACCAUUACGCAGAGCUGGGCCACUGACUUGGCAUCCAGCAAGCUCCCGACACACAUGCACAAGGGCACAGCCCCGGCGCUGGAGAGUCUCGGGAAUCCUGGAGGAUAAAGGGAUGCUCAUUCCCGCUCUCACGUGGGUCUUCUUCAUCCCAUUCUUUGAACUCUGAUGACUCAGAUUGAAAAUCACUUGGUUAGGUCUACAGCACUCAUUACAUGUGUGUUGAGAUGAACAUGGUAGAAAAUUUUAUGAAAUGUCUUUUGCGGAUCCAGGGCUUCAUGCUCCCUAGAAGGUGAUGCUGUUUGCACUGGAAGCCAAAUGUGAUGUCUCAAGCUUAGGGAUAUAUUACAUCUCACAUCAUACCAAGCAAUGUGGAGCAUUUGCCAUCUGUCUGGGCUGGGCACUGUCAGAGCCAAUGAAAAUCCUUCUUCAAUUCGCAA